rnacentral:lncRNA from 10 species
GUUUUCUAGCUGCAGUUGUCAAGAAGGGCUCUGGGCUGAAACUUGAAUGAAUUGAGGGAGAGAACCAUGUAAUCCCUUAUGCGUGAGUGUGUGUGUGUGUGUGUGUCUGUCUGUGUGUGCAUGCAUGUAUUCGUAGGGGGAUAAUGUGGCUAAAUUAGAGCAAGAGGAGUGUGGAUAAAGAGAAGUAGCCAAGGUCCAGGUUCUGCAGUGAUAAGAGCAGACAUUUUUAGGUUUGGAGAGAAGUUUAUUUCACUUUUCUCCCCAAAGGAGCUGCUCUUGAAUGUGCAUGGACACCUUUUCCCUGCCUAGCAAUAUAAAAGGACAUUGGAAGCAUUCUGAAUCCUCAAGAUGAGCACUUUGCAAUUGACCCUUCUCACCUCUUAAUUUGGCAAAUAAUAUCUUCCCAAGAAGAUUGGUCUUACAGAGCAGUAAAAAGAGCUUUUAAAUAAAAGUUUAAUGAAACCCAGUUUCGGCAACAAUGCUGUAUUAGUUCGUUCUCACACUGCUAUGAAGAAAUACUCAAGACUGCGUAAUUUAUAAAGAAAAGUUUAAUUGACUCACAGUUCUGCAUGGCUGGGGAGCCCUCAGGAAACUUACAAUCAUGGCAGAAGGCACGUCUUCACAGGGCAGCAGGAGAAAGAAUGAGUACCAGCAGGGGAAAUGCCAGAUGCUUACAAAACCGUCAGAUCUUGUGAGAACUCACUUACUAUCUGGAGAACACCAUGGGAGAAAAUGCCCCCAUGAUCUAAUUACCUUCACCUCGUCCUGCCCUUGACACAUGGGGCUUAUGAGGAUUACAAUUCAAGGGGAGAUCUGGAUGAGAACACAGAACCAAACCAUAUCAGAUGCCCCAAAACAAACUUUUGUGUACUUCUUGCUGAAGAAGUGAGUUGAUGUGGAUUCUUUGGAAACAAUUAAAAAAUGUCUGUUACUUAAUUGGCAUUGGUAAUAUGUUCACAGUAAUUGCAGUUUAGAAAUAUAUUUUAAGAUUUAGCUGCACCCCAGAAAAUGCCACCUAAAUUUAUAGUGCCAGAAAACAGAUCAUUGGUUGCCUAGGGAAGGGGAUAGGAAGAAGGGUGUCAAUUCAAAGGGACAACUUUUGGGGCUGGUAUAUACAUUCACUGUGUUGAUUUUCAUGAUGGUUUGAAGAGUGGCAAAAUCUAGAAAAUUCUAUGCUUCAUACGCAAUCAUUACAUUUCAAUUAUACCUCAAAUCUGUUGAUAGAGAUAUGUACAAAUAUAAAAAAAUUUUGUCAAAAGUCCCUUGCAUGAUCAUUUGAAAAAGGACCAACCUGUACGCAAUCUCCUACAUGCAUUGUAUCUACCAAAAAAUUGUUAACUAGAAAAUAUUCACAAACUACCCUUUAUUCAUAAGUUACUUUAAAAAACAGAAUAAAUAAAAGUAUGUACAAAACAACACUAGAAGCAAAUUGAUAGAAAACUUACAGAGAAUGUUUUCUUUAUUCAAAAUGUGCACAUUUUCUAAUAUUGUUUUACUGUGAAUUUUAUUUUUUAAAAAGAAGAAAAAUAUUUUAACAGAUAAAUAAGACAUAGACACUAUGAAAGACUGUAUUCACUGAGUAAAUCAUGCCAAAUUAUUUCUUUGGUUGCUAUGGGGCAACUAAACUGUUAUAUUCUGUUGUUAAACUAAAGAGAAAGCAUUUUAAUUUAAGCAAAGUAUACAGCAAAGGGUUGAUUGUAUGUUGUUUGAGAAAAAAAAAAUGAUAGCUCAGUUUGCUUCACUUUGGCUAUGGUUUGAAUGUCCGUUCAAUUUUAAAGUCUGUGCAGUGCUAUUGGGAUCUAUCCUGAAUGUUUAUCCCCCAUGGAUAUGUAUGGGACUGGAAGGUUUUCUGUUACUUCACUUCUCAAAGUCUUUAUUUAGUUUGCUGACUAGGAUCAGAUUCACACAUGUGCAGCUCUGGGAAAGAAGCCCAGGAUUUUUAUGAAUAAUUUUAUGGCUUUGAUUUCCUGAGCCUUCUUUGCAAUUUCUGCAGUACUUUCUGGUUCCCCUGGGCUUCCCUUUUUAGUCCUUUGGCCAGAAAGUUGGUGUUUUCGUUACUUCACUCUGGCACAGACUUCUGUGGCUGUGCCCACAUCUGGGGUCAAAACAAAAUAGCAAGGAACAAUUGUGAAGAUAAUUCAGCUCACACUUUUAGGACCACAGCACCAUUGAUUGGACAGGAAGAUUUUGAUCCCUAAUACAUUUGGUUCCUGUGGGGUCCCUUGCAGGUGUUACUGUUAUAGACAGGAUUGUUUCGACCUAGGAAUAAAGGACCUCUGCUAGAACUCUCUGUGUCUCAGUGCUCACUUCAGGUUUUGGCUUAAUAUGACCUUAGGCAGGGGGUAAUAGAAAAAUAAAACUGGUAGACUCACCACUGAUUCCUUGAUGCUUCAAGUUGCCAUUCUUUCCUGACUUUCUGGCAACUAUUUGGUAUUCAGAGUUCUCAAACAGCAAAUGCAUGCAUUCUGCCCAGAUUUCAUAGCUGCAUUCAGAGGGAAAGACAUGGUGGAGUGUGCUUGCCCCAACGCUUAGAAUUAAAACCCAAACAAAUACUUUUUAUUUAAUAAAUUUGCUACAAGUCUUUUUCUAUUAAAUUCAGUUCCAGUGGGUCCCUUAACUGUUCCUUUGACUAAAGCAUAUGACUGGAGUCAAUAAAAUUUACAUAUUGUUAUGAUUUUACUUAAGAAUAUGUGCAUAUAAAUAUUUCACUUUAAAAUUAGCUUUAUGCAUAUCCAUUUUUCUCAAGCUCUCCCUUUGUUCACUUCAGCAGUGGUCCAGCCCUGAUUGUCUCUUUAAG